rnacentral:rRNA from 1 species
GAUCUUCGGCAAUGGGCGCAAGCCUGACCGAGCGACGCCGCGUGCGCGAUGAAGGCCUUCGGGUUGUAAAGCGCUGUCGAGGGGGAGGAAGCCGAAAGGUUGACCUAUCCCUGGAGGAAGCACGGGCUAAGUUCGUGCCAGCAGCCGCGGUAAGACGAACCGUGCAAACGUUGUUCGGAAUCACUGGGCUUAAAGGGCGCGUAGGCGGGGGACCAAGUCCGGGGUGAAAUCUUUCGGCUCAACCGGAAAACUGCCUUGGAUACUGGUCUUCUUGAGGGAGGUAGGGGCAGGUGGAACUUCCGGUGGAGCGGUGAAAUGCGUUGAUAUCGGAAGGAACGCCGGUGGCGAAAGCGACCUGCUGGAUCUCUUCUGACGCUGAUGCGCGAAAGCUAGGGGAGCGAAC